rnacentral:rRNA from 1 species
UACAGAGGGUGCGAGCGUUAAUCGGAAUUACUGGGCGUAAAGGGCGCGCAGGCGGAUCUGUAAGUGAGUUGUGAAAUCCCCGGGCUUAACCUGGGAAUUGCGACUUAAACUGUGGAUCUGGAGUAUUGUAGAGGGUAGUGGAAUUUCCGGUGUAGCGGUGAAAUGCGUAGAUAUCGGAAGGAACAUCAGUGGCGAAGGCGGCUACCUGGACAGAUACUGACGCUGAGGCGCGAGAGCGUGGGGAGCAAACAGG